UGUAGGGAACAGAGCAGAAGGAGUCAGACAGGCUGGUUUCCAUGGCCUUGGGGCCGGUCACUUCCUUCUGUGAUUCCCAUGUUCCUCAUUUGAAGCGUGAAGAGAGUCCCCUUGGCCUUAAAAGGCACAUCUUCUCCGUUCAUUCAUUCAUUCACUCAUUCAUAGAAGAUGGCGUUUCCUAAGGAAUAGAUUGCUCUGUAUAGCGUCUAUCUUUGGGGGGGGGGCGUAAAAUGGGGUCAUUUGGUAGACAUAUUAUUUGCUCAGCAAACAUUUACUUGCCUAGCCCUCCCCACUUGGAGAGGGAUAGAAUUUCCUCACUCUGUUGAUAUUAGAUUUAGCCAUGUGACUUGCUGGAGACAGAAUACAGGCGGAAGCGGCAGCAGCCAGCUCCGGAGUCGCUGAGCCUCCCCUUUCCCACCUCUUGAGCAAUUGUCCUUGGCCAUGAGAAUACCAGAUAGCGGGAGUCCUUCAGCCGGACAAAGAAGGAGCAGACAAGGGAGACAGCUGUGUGUGACCCAAAGCUCGGAGGCCAGCCCGACCCAGCUAACCCACGGUGCUGAGAUUGAAUUUAGGGGCCUUGCACGUCUGGUCAAUCACUCCAGGACUGAUCUCCAUCCCUGUCUCUGGUUCUUGUAGUUCGCCGGUCUCACUGAGAAGCACAGGAACUGUCUACCCUGUGCUGUGAGGACAGGAACUCUUAUUGGAGCUCAUCAAAUAGUCUGCAGGGUCCCGAGUGGCCUUUCUGCCUCUGCCCUGUCCUCUCAGUGAUGGCAGCCUUGAAACUGUCUUCUGAGUUAUGGCAGCUACGCCCACAGGACUGGGUGACCCAGUGGGAAAGACCAGAAGACUGAUAUGCACCCUGUGGUGUCCUUGCAGCUGUUAUGUGGAGUUUUGAGCACUGGGUAGGAGAUUCAUGAGUUUGUAAAAUGUCACUUCCUGUCCUCAAGAGGAAGCAGACGGUCACAUAAACCUAGGUGUGAUUCUUGGGUGUCAGUCUUCAGAGUCAUUCUCCUGGGACUCUCCCUUGGACCUGGGGCUCCUCCCUCCAUUAGGUUGGCCUGGCUGGCCAGUGAGGUCUGAGGAUCUGCCUGCCUCUGCCUCUCCUGAGCUGGGAUUACAAAUGCCUGCCACCACACCCAGCUUCUGACGUGGGCACAGGGGAUCAGACUCGGAUCCUUGUUCUCAUUCCACUGACUUUGCUAUUUCCCUCUCCCAUCCUGUCCCUUCUACUUCUUUUAUUUUCUGUCUUUGUUGCUGUGCAUAUUGUGCUACUUGAGAGAUAAAAUGCCUCUCCCGGCACGGGGCUCCAGGUCCCCAGCAGAGAGCUAUAUCACACCUUCUUCUUGCUCAGCACGGUUGGCAGGUUAUGGCUCUGUGCGUGUGUGCGUGGAGCCUACCGAGAACCCAGACAUUCGGAACGUCUGAGGGCUGCGAGGCACCCACUGGUGAUCAGAAUCACCAUGGGCUCCACUCUCCUCCAGGGUCUAGUGAGCCCUGUCCCCCGCCUCUUCCAUACCCAUAAUGUUCCUGAUACAUCUGCUGAUAUGCUGACGAGGACACGGAGCUGGGGCUGGGCGUGCUCCUCAAGGUGUCAUCACACAUGGUAUCGGUCUUUUGUCCCAUUUCGGCAUUUACCGGAAACAAGUAGGAGAGGUAGGGCUUGAUCUCAGCCAGGGUUUGAGGUUUGGUGAUGUUCGUUGAUGGUCCCUGUGGCAGAGGCAUGCAUGAGGCUGGGCUGACUACGGAUAUCUUGGAGGCUUGGGAAGCAGAAGUCAGGCUGGAGUGAGGCUCAACUAUAGAACCUGAAAGCCCAAAUACUACAUCUCCUGCCAGGGUGAUAUCCAUUUCUAGCCGGGCAGUGAGAAGUGGCUGCCCAGGGACCUGGCUCAGGGCGCUGGCACUAUUGCUCUGAUCACUUAACAGCUGCCCCCAAGGAUUAGGGUGCUGUGAGCUUCCUGUCAGGGUCACCUCGCACUUCUCAGAUGCAGCAACUCAUCUAGUUCUUCCUUUUAGGUCAAAUCUCCAAAUAGGAUGCACUACGAAUGAUCCAAGGUCCUUGGGCAUGAGGUGUGGGAACCUGCCUGGAUGUACAUCAGUUCUUUUCCUCUUCCUCCUCUUCCUCCUCCUCCUCCCCUCUUCCUCCUCUUCCUCCU
rnacentral:sRNA from 1 species